rnacentral:rRNA from 1 species
AUCCAGAGCUUGCUCUGGUGAGAGUGGCGCACGGGUGAGUAACGCGUGGAUAACCUGCCCUGGUAUCCGGAAUAACAUCUCGAAAGGGGUGCUAAUACCGGAUAAGCCCACGGGGUCUUCGGACUCUGCGGGAAAAGGUGGCCUCUGAAUAUGCUACCGUAUCAGGAUGGGUCCGCGUACCAUUAGCUAGUUGGUAGGGUAAUGGCCUACCAAGGCUACGAUGGUUAGCUGGUCUGAGAGGAUGAUCAGCCACACUGGAACUGAGACACGGUCCAGACUCCUACGGGAGGCAGCAGUGGGGAAUUUUGCGCAAUGGGGGAAACCCUGACGCAGCAACGCCGCGUGAGUGAUGAAGGCUUUCGGGUCGUAAAGCUCUGUCAGUAGGGAAGAAGUGUAAGGGUGCUAAUACCAUCUUUACUUGACGGUACCUACAAAGGAAGCACCGGCUAACUUCGUGCCAGCAGCCGCGGUAAUACGAAGGGUGCAAGCGUUAAUCGGAAUUACUGGGCGUAAAGGGUGCGUAGGCGGUUACUUAAGUCUGUCGUGAAAUCCCCGGGCUCAACCUGGGAAUGGCGAUGGAUACUGGGUGGCUAGAGUGUGU